rnacentral:rRNA from 1 species
UAAGCAUAUCACUAAGCGGAGGAAAAGAAACUAACCAGGAUUCCCCUAGUAAUGGCGAAUGAAGCGGGAAGAGCCCAGCACCGAAUCCAGCAGCCUUGCGCUGCAUGGGACUGUGGUGUUUAGGACGUCUAUUGCUGCGAUGUUCGGGUGCCCAAGUCCUCCUGAUCGGGGCCUCUCCCAGAGCGGGUGUCAGGCCUUUACCGGCACUCGACGCCGUGGCUUUGAACGUCCUUGGAGUCGGGUUGUUUGAGAAUGCAGCCCAAAGCGGGUGGUAAACUCCAUCUAAGGCUAAAUACCGACAAGUGU